CUUUGUUUUUUGCACACCCCGUCCACGGGAAAGAUGCGGCUUCAUGUGGACAGAGCAGAGUAAGCUGCAGACACACACAGAGCUAAUGAGCUAUAUUUUAAGCAAAAUGGAUUUUGCUUGAAAUCAACACCAAAUGAGGGUUUUUUUUGGCUUCCGUAGGAAACUAUUUUAGAAACAGGCAGUGUUCAGACGAGGAGCAGUCUGUGGGGGAGUAGAUGUACUUUGGGACCAAANUUAAGCACACCAUGGAAAAACCAUGCCUGGAAGUUCUGAUCGUUUCCAGAGAAGCUGCUGGUGGUGCUCAGAAACGCACAGCACCACUCUGGGAAGAAGCUUCCCAGCCUGUUACUAAGAGGUUACGGAUGGAUUUACCAGCUUAUCCACAGGAGUGGAAAUCCUCUCUCCCACUGCAUCCAAGGAGAAGUGCCUCCACCCAGGCCUACCCCACCAUGCAGCCCCAGUCUGCACAACAAAGCCAGAAUACUCGACCGAGANCUCUUUAUAAUCCUUACGAUUUUACCUCCGAUGAACUUGACCCAGCCUGUGAGUGGCCAAGGGAAGCAUCUUCAGCGAAGGAACAUAAGACAGAACAGUGUUAGUAUACUUUUUAUGAGGAAAGUUGGACUCGGGUGUUUGAAAAUGAGACAUUGUAAAGUUUCUGGGAUCCUGCUAAAGCCUGCACAAANCAGGGACAACAAAAGGGAUUUGGGGUCAGCAGCUUGGAUGGCUUCAAAAAAAGUUUGGACCCAUUAAUGGAGGCACAGGACUAUCGAUGGCUAUUUGCUCUAUGGCAGUAGGAGGUGCUAUGCACCCUAAGAUCUGCUGGUGAGGCUCUCUUGGCCAUGCCACCCCUUUCACUAUUUAAGGGGUGAGGAUGUGUGGGAGGGCCUUCUCGGUCAUAGCCCCCAGGCUAUGGAACAGUCUCCCUUCUGAGGUAUGAAAGGCACCUUGUUGUAUGUAUUCAGAGUGAUUGGUGAAGACACACCUCUUUACCCUGGCCUUUGGCUGAGGGAGCAGCAAGCCUUCCCCAUGCAGCCACUGUCACUGUUUUAGCCAAUCUACUUUAUCUGCUUUUAUAAUGAUUUUAUUGUGACCUGCCCUGAGUCCUUCU
rnacentral:lncRNA from 1 species